rnacentral:rRNA from 1 species
AACGAACGCUGGCGGCGCGUCUUAAGCAUGCAAGUCGAGCGGUAGGGCGGGGCAACCCGUCUGAGAGCGGCGGACUGGUGAGUAACGCGUGGGUGACCUACCCUUAGGAUGGGGAUAGCCACUAGAAAUAGUGGGUAAUACCGAAUGUGGUUGCGAGGCUAUGGUCUUGCAAAGAAAGGAGCUACGGCUCCGCCUGAGGAUGGGCCCGCGUCCCAUUAGCUAGUUGGGGGUGUAACGGACCACCAAGGCGAUGAUGGGUAGCCGGCCUGAGAGGGUGAACGGCCACACUGGGACUGAGAUACGGCCCAGACUCCUACGGGAGGCAGCAGCUAAGAAUAUUCCGCAAUGGACGAAAGUCUGACGGAGCGACGCCGCGUGGAUGAUGAAGGCCGAAAGGUUGUAAAGUCCUUUUGUCGACGAAGAAUAAGUGUGGGAGGGAAUGCCCGCAUGAUGACGUUAGUCGGCGAAUAAGCCCCGGCUAAUUACGUG